CAAACCCCUUCGAAACCAGUAACCCCAAAUACCCUAAUAUUUCUUCUCCCUCCUCUCACUCAUUUUAAUUACCCAGUAAACCCUUAUCUCGCUUUGCACAAGAAAACCCAAACAAUUGUGCAUCUAGGGUUUGAGUGUUCAUCAGAUUCGAAGACUGCGUUUCCUCCUUCUUGUUGAUUGUCAUGCCAGAAGUAACUUCCCCUUCAUAAUCUUACAUAACAAGAAAGAACCAACAAUUGCAAUUCUUCUUGAAUUCAUUCAAAAAUUUUGAGCUGGACGGUAAACAAUCAUGUUGCCUCAUUCGGCUUUGUGAAGAAAGGGAGUAAAAUCAAUAACAUUUCUUAACUCUUGCUUGCCGACACAAGGAGGAAGUGACAUCGUCGAAAAACCCUUCUAGUUGAUAGCUGUGAUCUGGUUUCGACUCUCUAAGGCGUGUUUUGCGGUGAGUAGUAGCAGUCCCUUAAAUCGUAUAGACAGACUACAAUUUCAAAAAACUAAAAAAUAUUUUCGUAAAGCAGUCCCUUACUUCCUAUUUUGAGGUGAAUUGUCAUUCAAAUAUUGACUAGCCUCACCCGAAAGUGACAUAGUCUUAGAGCUAUGGAUGUUCCUUUCAACUAGACUGCCUAUGCGCACAUAGUUUUAGGAAAAUGAUGUUGCUUUUAAAUCUUUGUUUUAUUGUUUUGGAUUGUUACUUCUCAUUCAGUUUAAUCUGACACUCUAUUGUUUCCAAAGUUUAGUUUGAUUACAGAUCGGAAUCGGCCGAGAACAAUAGGUUAGCGGUGUUGAUUAGAGUACCAAGGAUGUCAUAUUGAGCUGAGCAUGGGGAGAAUUUUGUAGUUUUGUAUUAGGUUUUUGGAUAAAUGCAUAUUAGACUUGGUUGUGUUGUUUAUAUUGAACUUAAAGUGAUCUGUAUGUUUACCUUGUGUUUUGAUUAGACGUUUGGUUUGAGAA